GCACUCUGGGGGAACAUGGCCGCUUCCGGUCUCCCUCCCGGGCCGGCGCUGGCCUGACUGCGGCCCCGGUCCGUAGCACUCCGCCCUCCGCUUCUCCCGCCCUGUAGCCGCGAAGACUGCUUCAGCCUUUCCCUGUGCUGCCCCUGCCGCGCGAUGGAGAAGAGCUCGAGCUGCGAGAGUCUUGGCUCCCAGCCGGCGGCGGCUCGGCCGCCCAGCGUGGACUCCUUGUCCAGUUAAUGUGUUAAGAGCCAUUGACAUUUGAAGAUCAUCAGAAGUGAAGAUAAAACAUCUCAAAAAUUAUAAUUGCCUCCACUUCUCAUUCAGAGAAUUCAGUGCAUACAAAAUCAGCUUCUGUUGUAUCAUCAGAUUCCAUUUCAACUUCUGCCGACAACUUUUCUCCUGAUUUGAGGCCCAUGCAGUCCAGUUCGGGAGCUAAGUCACUUAAACACUGUGUGAUAGUUCCUACACAUCUCAUUAUAGUUUUUCUUAGUUAUUGGCCGCAGGUGAGCCAGAUUGCGGAAGAUGGAGGAAUUAAUGGGAUUGG
rnacentral:lncRNA from 10 species